CCUUGCCCGGACCCCGGCUUCGCGCUUUGUCAUGGUGUUCCCGCAAGAGCCUGCGCCUGAUGCGUGCGCGGCCGGCCGUUGCCAUGGCAACCGCUGCCUGAUCAGCCGGCGGAGACGAGGGCCAGGGGGGCCGCUGCGGGCUGGAGAUUUCCAGUUCUGAAGUCAGACGACAUCGGGGUCCACAAGCCUGGCUAUCACGAAGCAGGAAGCCAGCCCUGAAUAUUCAUUGGAAGGACUGAUGCUGAAGCUGAAGCUCCAGUGAAACAGCUGGCUGCCUGGAAAAGCCCCCGACGCUGGGAAAGACUGAAGGUUCUUUACCACCAGCGCCACCUGGGAAGCCCGAGCGACGUGUGUGCGGGAGUUCAAUCCAGUUCUUGUCUAUGUAACACGGAAUCAUACCAUCGAACCGCCUUCAGAGCACAGUUUCCUCAUCACGCAAGCAUUUAUGUCUUUGGGCUCUAAGACCCGGCCGCGACAGCACUUUCGAGGCCCCACACAGAUGAGGACUGUGGCGCUGGUCCUUCCCCAGCACCUCUGACCGAGCACCCUGUGGUGCGUGCACCUCUGUGAGCGUCUGCAGGGGGCAGAUUUCCAGGGGUGCGUUUGCCGGGUCAAAGAGCAGGCGCAUAUAAAUCUGGAUGCCUUCUGCCCAAAGAACCUGCCAGGAAGGCUGUAACAAAUUGCAUCCUCCCACUAGCCUAUGAAGGCAUCAGCUUUUUCUUUUUCACACAAUCACCA
ensembl:lncRNA